CCAAGAACUACUAAAAAUCCGUUGAGAAUCUGCGGGGACCCACAGGUUGUGUUAUUAUUGCAUUGGUGUAUAUAUUGUGAUGAUGUCUGUGUUUGUAACAGCAAAGAAACAUUGACUUAGGGUUGACUUAUGACUGAAUCGUUGGUGUUCCAGCGAUUCAGGUUUCGUCCCACUGGUGAUUCAUUGAAGGAAACCUUAGUUUUCUUAUAGGUGAUGAAGAUGUUUGCAUCAGGAAGUACACAUUGUACAGAUUUUAGAUGUCAGAAGAGGCUACUGGGAACAGGCUUGCCAGCAAUAGAGAAGACUCAGGAGCCCUAGAAGCCAGUAUUUAUUGAGCAUGUUCUGUAUGCACUGCUUUAUAUCUCUCUUAAUUGUUCUUAAUUGUCAUCUCAAACAUGUGUUUGUACUGAUCUAGGCAGAUGGAAGUAGUCAAUAAAAUACACUAAGUUCCUACCCUGAGGAAAAAAAUCUGCCACAAUGUCAGAUAAGUACUAGGGAAAAAAAAAAAAGAAAGCAGAUAGCAUGGCUAGAGAAAUGUGAUGUAUGUUGGUGGAAGGUGCUGUGUAUAAUAGGAUGGGUCAGAGAAGACAUCUCUGAGUAGGUGACAUUUUAGAGACUGUGUGAAGUGAGAGAUUGGGCCCUAUAGACAUCUGGGAAGAGAUUAUUCUAGGAAAAGGUAACAAGAACAAAGGUUCUGAUGAAUAAAUGAGAAGGAAUAGGAUAUAUUAGAGUAUAUGAAGAAGUCGUUUGGUUUAAAACUAACUCUGCCUGACCUUGUUUUUCCAAAAAGUUGACAUGGCCUGUUGAGCAUGCAUUGUAUCUCUACUUUAAACAUUUUAUAAUUUCUCAAAGACAAGUAUGAUGCCCUUAAAGAUAGGGAUUUAGAUUCCCCCAUAUUGACGUUUCUUUAAAGAUAAGCAUCUCUUCCUAGAACCUAAGGAUUAGUUACUGACCUGCUGUGUUCACCUUGUGUGCACUGACCUGCCGUGCUGGUAAAAGUAUCCUGUGACUGUUGUAAAAAGGACAUUCUUGUCAUGUGUGGCGUAUGCACUUUGUUCCAAGAUGGUAUAUAACCACUCUGUAUAGCCGAAUUCCUUGGGAAAGGGAGCCACCCAGCUAUAGUCCUCAGACCUGGCUCGUAUAAUAAACUCACCCUGAUUUUGAUUUAUAGAUCGAUUAUGGAUUGCUUGCACCAAAAGUUCUGAGGUUGGAAUGUAUUUGUCACCUUACAUGACACUGCUUUUACUCCAAGACCAGGGAAAAAGAUGCACCUUCAAGAAAAAGAUGAAUGUGGGGUUACAUGGCCUGAAAACAUUCAUAGACACCUAGAGCAAGCAGGGGAGACCCAUGAAGAUACCUUUUGAUCUGAAGUGGGUUUGUAACUUAACUUACAUGUUUGGUACUCAACUUGCAGGAUUCACGUCUCAGAGUUCUUCAGUGGUAUUUCCACCAUCCCUAAUCUCAAUCAUGGCCACAAAGUAACUUUAGUGCCUCC
rnacentral:lncRNA from 1 species